GGCGUGCGUUUUGCUAGUUAGACCUCACAGGUAGCCAACGGCGGUUGCCCACUCACGACACAGACGUCGC
rfam:Pseudomonas lutea strain DSM 17257 Contig001, whole genome shotgun sequence.